rnacentral:rRNA from 1 species
CGGCGAGUGAAGCGGUAACAGCUCAAAUUUGAAAUCUGGCCUCACGGUCCGAGUUGUAAUUUGUAGAGGAUGCUUCGAGCAUGGUCUGGCCUAAGUUCCUUGGAACAGGACGUCAUAGAGGGUGAGAAUCCCGUAUGCGGCCAGGUGCCUACGCUCAUGUGAAGCUCCUUCGACGAGUCGAGUUGUUUGGGAAUGCAGCUCAAAAUGGGUGGUAAAUUUCAUCUAAAGCUAAAUAUUGGCCAGAGACCGAUAGCGCACAAGUAGAGUGAUCGAAAGAUGAAAAGCACUUUGGAAAGAGAGUUAAACAGUACGUGAAAUUGUUGAAAGGGAAGCGCUUGCAACCAGACUUGCGCGCGGCCGAUCAUCCGGUGUUCUCACCGGUGCACUCGGCCGUGCUCAGGCCAGCAUCGGUUUUGGCGGCUGGAUAAAGGCCCUAGGAAUGUAGCUCCUCUCGGGGAGUGUUAUAGCCUAGGGUGCAAUGCAGCCUGCUGGGACCGAGGACCGCGCUUCGGCUAGGA